rnacentral:ncRNA from 2 species
CAAAUCCGAUUGGGGUGCCCCGUUCCAAGUGGGACAGGGCUGAGAUCAUACCCAUGGAACCUGACGCAGGUCGUGCUGCCGUAGGGAAUCGGAGAGCCGAACAU